ACUUCAGAAGGUGUCCAGGAGGGACUUCAGAAUGCUCUGGGGUCUGCUCUGCUCUUUCUCGGCUUUAUGGAGAAUAAAGUCUAUUUUCUGAUAUUCAAAACCUCUGGUCUGAUAAUUUGUAAUUGAUUAGUCGUCGAAUUUACGACAAAUGGCGCCCAACGUGGGGCUGAGAAGAGACGAUCGAGUGACACUGGACAUGCUGGGGCUUGGAGGAAAAACACAAAUAUGUGGCCACGAUAAAAAACGAAAUGGCUGAAAGAGAUGAAGAUGAUCCAUCAAGACCAACGCUCAAUGAAAUAUGUGAAAAUAAUAAACUUAAUGGGAUUAAUUUGCUAACAAGUGCAUUGGUGACUGAUGGCAUGGAAACUGACAGAAACAAGCAUCUAACACUGCAUCGCAUGAACUACUCUUGGGUCGACCCAUGAAAGAAACCUUGCAAGAAACAGCAUGACCCUUGCAAGAAACCACAUGAAACUUGGCAUAUAAUCUCACCUAUAACCUUGCAUAAACCUCUUGGAAUGGUUUGCAAAGAUGUCUAAUGCAGUAGGGACUUUAAUGAAGAAACAAAUAAUUGCCAUGUGCAUAGCGAUAUCUGUGCAGGAAACCAGAAAGGAGCCAUGUGAGAGAGCAGUGAUACAAGGUCCAACUGGUCUAGGUGAUUGAGUCUAUCUGAGGAUGCUCAGACAGCUGCUAAAGAGGAUGCCAUUGAUGAGGUACCAAUGCCUCAAAGAAGCGAAAGGGAACAACUCCAGUGAGGGAAAGCUGACUGGAAACAGAGGAGCCUGAAUAUUCCAAAGCUCUAAACUACGAAGUUCAACUUGUGGAAGGAGAAGUUUAUCAGA